UACAGAGGAUGCAAGCGUUAUCCGGAAUUACUGGGCGUAAAGCGUGCGCAGGCGGUUGUGCAAGACCGAUGUGAAAUCCCCGAGCUUAACUUGGGAAUUGCAUUGGCGACUGCACGGCUAGAGUGUGUCAGAGGGGGGUAGAAUUCCACGUGUAGCAGUGAAAUGCGUAGAGAUGUGGAGGAAUACCGAUGGCGAAGGCAGCCCCCUGGGAUAACACUGACGCUCAUGCACGAAAGCGUGGGGAGCAAACAGG
rnacentral:rRNA from 1 species